rnacentral:rRNA from 1 species
CAGUCGCCGCGGUAAUACGUAGGUGGCAAGCGUUGUCCGGAAUUAUUGGGCGUAAAGCGCGCGCAGGCGGAUCAGUCAGUCUGUCUUAAAAGUUCGGGGCUUAACCCCGUGAUGGGAUGGAAACUGCUGAUCUAGAGUAUCGGAGAGGAAAGUGGAAUUCCUAGUGUAGCGGUGAAAUGCGUAGAUAUUAGGAAGAACACCAGUGGCGAAGGCGACUUUCUGGACGAAAACUGACGCUGAGGCGCGAAAGCCAGGGGAGCGAACGGGAUUAGAUACCCCCGGUAGUCCCUGUCUCUUAUAC